AAACCGUUGGAAGGGAAGCGAAUGGAGACGGCAAAUCGCCCACUUCGAUUCAUCCGCUCGCGUCCUGCAACCCGAGCUCUCGCGAUCUGUACACAGACGCGGUUCGCGCGGCCGCAGUUCCCGGGCGGUGCACUUCCGGUGGGCUAGCGUCAACGUCGGUCGACGACGCGUCACACAGCCGCGACACGGUAGGUCCUUCGGGAUCGGUAAGUGUUGCGUGCACGCGACGCGUACUAGACCGGCGUCCGUCGCAGCGUGUGCCUUCCCGCAGUAGCGGGUAGGCUGCUGACUUUGUUGUCGACCGGCGAUGCUGACGAGCGGACGGCUCCGCCUGUGCGUCGGCAGCGCCGCCGUUCGACCGACGAAGGAUGCAGACACGACGCGCUCAGUACGUUGACCGCCGUGCGGCUCCAUCCGACCCGUCUUGAAACACGGACCAAGGAGUCUAACAUGUGCGCAAGUCUCAGGGUGAUGGAAACCCAUCGGGCGCAAUGAAAGUGAAUGCGGUCUCGGCCGCAGAGACGAGAAGCGCGAGUGCUUAUGGGUUCCAUCCUGCACCGUGCCACAUCGUCGACCGACCUGUUCUAUUCUUGGAAAGGUUUGAGUUAGAGCGCACCUGUUGGGACCCGAAAGAUGGUGAACUAUGCCUGAAUAGAGCGAAGCCAGCGG
rnacentral:rRNA from 1 species